CAUUAGGAAGCUUGCAACAGCACUAGCCUUUUAAGCUAGAGAAUGGAACCUUCCACCAGUGA
rnacentral:tRNA from 1 species